rnacentral:rRNA from 1 species
UACGUAGGGCGCAAGCGUUGUCCGGAAUUAUUGGGCGUAAAGAGCUCGUAGGCGGUUUGUCGCGUCUGCUGUGAAAACCUAAGGCUCAACCUUGGGCUUGCAGUGGGUACGGGCAGACUAGAGUGCGGUAGGGGUGACUGGAAUUCCUGAUGUAGCGGUGAAAUGCGCAGAUAUCAGGAGGAACACCGGUGGCGAAGGCGGGUCUCUGGGCCGAUACUGACGCUGAGGAGCGAAAGCGUGGGGAGCGAACAGG